rnacentral:lncRNA from 1 species
CUAAGGCUACUGUAUGUCUCUUCACUGCUUAAUUAGGAAAGAUAUUACUCAUUUUUGUUUGAUAUGAUCAUUUGAAAAGAAUCAAUAGUUUGGACAAAACUAUAUUACUCCUUUUUGUUUGAUAUGAUCAUUUGAAAAGAAUCAAUAGUUUGGACAAAACUAAUGGCCUUCAUGUGCUCAUUGUCAUAUUCUAUAUAGUGAAGGUUGCUAUGAGGAGGUCGUUGUACUAGUGAAGAUUGCUUCCAACUAUCCGGAUUUGAAAUAAAUACAGAAAACAUAAAAUUGUAACAGUGUAGGAAUGGACACAAAGU